rnacentral:rRNA from 1 species
UACGAAGGGGGCUAGCGUUGUUCGGAAUUACUGGGCGUAAAGCGCGUGUAGGCGGUUGCCAAAGUCGGGUGUGAAAGCCUUGAGCUCAACUCAAGAAUUGCACUCGAUACUUGGUGACUAGAGGACCGGAGAGGAUAGUGGAAUUCCCAGUGUAGUGGUGAAAUACGUAGAGAUUGGGAAGAACACCAGUGGCGAAGGCGGCUAUCUGGACGGUUUCUGACGCUAAGACGCGAAAGCGUGGGGAGCAAACAGG